CAGCUUUAGGCAGUGAGACCUUGGCAUCACGGCAAGAAUCCACGACAGAUCACACAGACUCUGUGUUGCUGUUAGAAACUUUGCAAGAUGAGCUGAAGCUUUUUAACGAAACAGCCAAAAAGCAGAUGGAGGAGUUACAGGCCUUAAAGGUAAAGUUGAAGAUGAAAGAGGAAGAAAGGCUCCGAUUCCUAGAACAGCAAACCUUAUGUAACAGUCAAGUAAAUGAUUUUGCAACAGCCAUUGAGGAAAUGGAGCAGCUAUUAGAAAUGUAAUAAAAAGCAAGUGGCCAGAUGGCUCCCUCUGGGGGAUAAACUCUUAGAGGAAGCCACUUAGGACAUCUUCUUGGCCAUGAUCUUCUGGGACUCACCACCUCCAAAAUGAAAACAAUUUCUGCAGUAGGAUUAAGGACAGUUUAUGCUGGAAUGGCGGUUCCUCCUUUAAGCAAGUUUUCCCAACCUUCAGGUUUGUCAGCCCUCCUGAG